AGGGGACUGAUAAGCCACAAAUAAGAAUGACUAUCUCAGAUAGAAGGUAGUGUCUAAAUCCGUUUACAAUAAACCCGUUUACAUAUCUAACAAUGCUAGGUAUAUAUGUUAUAGGACUUACUUAAACGUUACUCUCUGGAACGAUUUGGCUGAGUGCUUUCAACAAGAAAUUAGUUCAACUAAAUUUGAGGAACCUAUGAUUGUUAUCAUUGCAGUUGGGAAAGUAGGGGUGUUUCAAGAUGAAUUUGAUAUUUGCAACUUCUCACCAACAACAUACUACAUCAACUAUGAUCACCAUAGUGUGGCAGAGUUACGCAAAGUGAGUGGACAACCACAGUUUAAGAUGCAAUAGGGCCGGAUUGUUCAAGCAAAAAAGGAACCAAAGUUGAUGACCAUCGAUGCAAUUACGCAACUGGGGGAAGAUUAUACUGAGGUAGCUCUUUU